rnacentral:rRNA from 1 species
GAGUUUGAUCCUGGCUCAGAUUGAACGUUGGCGGCAGGCCUAAAACAUGCAAGUCGAACAGUAACAGCGGAAGCUUGCUUCCGGCUGACGAGUGGCGGACGGGUGAGUAACACGUAGGAAUCUACCUAGUAGUGGGGGACAACCCGGGGAAACCCGGGCUAAUACCGCAUACGCUCUACGGAGGAAAGCAGGGGAUCUUCGGACCUUGCGCUAUUGGAGGAGCCUGCGUCGGAUUAGCUAGUUGGUGGGGUAAAGGCCUACCAAGGCGACGAUCCGUAGCUGGUCUGAGAGGACGAUCAGCCACACUGGAACUGAGACACGGUCCAGACUCCUACGGGAGGCAGCAGUUAGGAAUCUUGGGCAAUGGGCGCAAGCCUGACCCAGCCAUGCCGCGUGUGUGAAGAAGGCCUUCGGGUUGUAAAGCACUUUCAGCGGUGAAGAAAAGCUCAGGGCUAAUACCCUUGAGUCUUGACGUUAACCACAGAAGAAGCACCGGCUAACUCCGUGCCAGCAGCCGCGGUAAUACGGAGGGUGCGAACGUUAAUCGGAAUUACUGGGCGUAAAGCGUGCGCAGGCGGUUUUGUAAGCCAGAUGUGAAAUCCCCGGGCUUAACCUGGGAAUGGCAUUUGGGACUGCAAGGCUCGAGUGCGGCAGAGGAGACUGGAAUUCCUGGUGUAGCAGUGAAAUGCGUAGAUAUCAGGAGGAACACCGAUGGCGAAGGCAGGUCUCUGGGCUGACACUGACGCUCAUGCACGAAAGCGUGGGGAGCAAACAGGAUUAGAUACCCUGGUAGUCCACGCCCUAAACGAUGUCGACUGGUUGUUGGGGGUUUGACACUCUCAGUAACGAAGCUAACGCGUGAAGUCGACCGCCUGGGGAGUACGGCCGCAAGGUUAAAACUCAAAGGAAUUGACGGGGACCCGCACAAGCGGUGGAUUAUGUGGAUUAAUUCGAUGCAACGCGAAAAACCUUACCUACCCUUGACAUGUCCGAGAGCCUGCUGAAAGGCGGGUGUGCCCGAAAGGGAAUCGGAACACAGGUGCUGCAUGGCUGUCGUCAGCUCGUGUCGUGAGAUGUUGGGUUAAGUCCCGCAACGAGCGCAACCCUUAUCGUUAGUUGCCAGCGGGUCAAGCCGGGCACUCUAGCGAAACCGCCCCGGAUAACGGGGAGGAAGGUGGGGAUGACGUCAAGUCCUCAUGGCCUUUAUGUCCAGGGCUACACACGUGCUACAAUGGUCGGUACAAACCGUCGCAAACCUGCGAAGGGGAGCUAAUCGGAAAAAGCCGGCCUCAGUUCGGAUUGGAGUCUGCAACUCGACUCCAUGAAGCUGGAAUCGCUAGUAAUCGCGGAUCAGCACGCCGCGGUGAAUACGUUCCCGGGCCUUGCACACAC